CUUAGAGUUUGAUCCUGGCUCAGGAUGAACGCUGGCGGCGUGCCUAACACAUGCAAGUCGAACGAGCAAAUACAUUUGAUUUCUUCGGAAUGAAGAUGUAGGCGCGAGUGGCGGACGGGUGAGUAACGCGUGAGUAAUCUGCCUCAUACAGGAGAAUAACACUAAGAAAUUGGUGCUAAUACUCCAUAAGCUCACAUUAUGACAUCAUAGAGUGAGAAAAGAUUUAUCGGUAUGAGAGGAGCUCGCGUCUGAUUAGCUAGUUGGUGGGGUAACGGCCUACCAAGGCAACGAUCAGUAGCCGACCUGAGAGGGUGAUCGGCCACAUUGGAACUGAGACACGGUCCAAACUCCUACGGGAGGCAGCAGUGGGGAGUAUUGCACAAUGGGGGAAACCCUGAUGCAGCAACGCCGCGUGAAGGAAGAAGUAUUUCGGUAUGUAAACUUCUAUCGACAGGGAAGAAACAAAUGACGGUACCUGAAUAAGAAGCACCGGCUAAAUACGUGCCAGCAGCCGCGGUAAUACGUAUGGUGCAAGCGUUAUCCGGAUUUACUGGGUGUAAAGGGUGAGUAGGCGGUCAUGCAAGUCAUAUGUGAAAUGUCAGGGCUUAACCUUGGCGCUGCAUAAGAAACUGUAUGACUAGAGUGCAGGAGAGGUAAGCGGAAUUCCUAGUGUAGCGGUGAAAUGCGUAGAUAUUAGGAAGAACACCGGUGGCGAAGGCGGCUUACUGGACUGUUACUGACGCUGAGUCACGAAAGCGUGGGGAGCAAACAGGAUUAGAUACCCUAGUAGUCCACGCCGUAAACGAUGGUCACUAAGUGUCGGGGGUCAAACCCCGGUGCUGCAGUCAACGCAAUAAGUGACCCGCCUGAGUAGUACGUUCGCAAGAAUGA
rnacentral:rRNA from 1 species